UUUUUUUUUUGAGACGGAGUCUCGCUCUGUCGCCCAGGCUGGAGUGCAGUGGCGCAAUCUCGGCUCACUGCAAGCUCUGCCUCCUGGGUUCACGCCAUUCUCCUGCCUCAGCCUCUCUGAGUAGCUGGGACUACAGGCGCCUGCCACCAUGCCCGGCUAAUUUUUUGUAUUUUUAGUAGAGACGGGGUUUCACCAUGGUCUCGAUCUCCUGACCUCGUGAUCCGCCCACCUCGGCCUCCCAAAGUGCUGGGAUUACAAGCGUGAGCCACCGCGCCUGGCCGUAACUGACUUCUUUGUGACUCCACACAUAUGUUCUAAUCCUGCCCUGUGCCACAACUCAGAAUAAAUAUUCCGAGGAUAGGAUGUGCAAAUGUGUAAAAACUAUUUUCUUGCUUCCUGUAAGUAAUUUUUUUCUGGCUGAAUGUUUCCAGUUACUUCAGCCUUUGCUUAUCUUGAAAAGCAAGCUCUAUGAGGGAAGGACCCAUGUCUGAAUGGCUACUACUCUAUUCUCAGCCCCUAGAAUAGUACUUGGCAUAUUGUAAGUAUUCAGUUAAUGUCUGGUGUAAAAAGGGAUGAAUAAAGGAACCAUCUGGGUUCAUUCACCUCUUUAUCCUGCUAACUAUGGCAUUCUGACUCCUUAAAAGGAAGCUUGUACUCCUGUGAUAACAUCCAUACAAAGUACAUAUAGCAUCCACUUGUAUAUCUUAAUUUCCUCAAAUAGUAUGUCAUUGCCUUUAUUGUCAGCUAAAAUUUGUAACUGAUCCUUACUUAUAUUGCUGGUGAAAGGAUUAAAAACAGGGUAAGGACAGAGACCUGUACCUGAUGUCAGAGACUUCUCCCCAUAAGGACAUGACCCUUUGGUCAGCUAAUUGUGGAUCUCUCUUGCUGUACUUUAAUUCAGUCAUUGUUGCUGCUUCUUUUGGUGGCUGUGGGAGCAAAGAGUAAGAAACACUAAAACUUCCUGGAGAAAUUAGGUAAUGACAUAAAAAGGGAUAAUGUUUGAUCUUGCAACAUGGUUAAGGUUUUACCAAGAGACAAGAAAAGGAAGAACAUAUCUGGCAUAGGAAUAACAUAGAUAAAGAUGUUCAGGCAACUCAAGUGGUUCAGCAUGGUUAUAGGGAAAUGUGUUACUUUGAUAAAACAUUUAGGGCUUAGGGAGGUAGAAAAGCCACAAUCACAGAGGAUCCUAAAUCUAUGCCAAAGACUUUGUCCAUUUUUCUAUACGUACUUGGAGAUCAAAAGGGAAUUUUAAACAGGGAGUGAAACUUUUGUGUUUUACAGAGAUGAUGUUGCUGCAAACACUCAUUGGAGUGAGAGAGACCAAAGGCAAAGAAGUCAAGUAGGAGGUCUCUAGGUCAAGAAUUAUGAGGGCCUGAAUCAGGGUCACGGCAGUAGGAGUUGGUGGAAGACAUUUAAGAGAGGGAAUUUACAGGUUGUUGUGACUGAUUGGAUGUUAAAAAGAAACUCUAGAAAGACACUUGCUGGUUGGGCGCAGUGGCUUACAUCUGUACUUUGAGCACUUUGAGAGGCCCAGCACUUUAGGAGGCCAAAGCAUGAGGACUGCUUGAGGCUAGGAGUUCUAGACUAGCCUGGGCAACAUAAUGAGACCCCUAUCUCUGCAAAAAAAUUUUUUUUAAUUAGCCAGGCUGGGCAUGGUGGCUCACACCUGUAAUCCCAGCACUUUGGAUUGCUUGAGCCCAAGACUUUGAAACCAGCCUGGGCAACAUAGUGAGACCCUGUCUCUACAAAAAUUUAAAGAUUAACUGAGCGUGAUGGCAUGUGCCUGUGGUCCCAGAUACUCAGGAGGCUGAGGCGGGAGGAUCACUUGAGCCCAGGAGGUCAAAACUGCAGUGAGCUGUGCUUUUGCCACUGUACUCCAGCCUGGAUGAUGGAGUAAAACCCUGUCUCAAAAAAAAAAAAAAAAAAAAAAACCAGGUGCAGUGGCUCACACCUGUAGUUCUAUCUACUUGGGAAGCUGAGGAGGGAGGAUCACUUGAGCCCAAGAGUUUGAGGCUAUGGUAAGCUAUGAUCGUGCCACCACACUCUGGCCUAGGUGACAAGAAUGAGGCCUCGACUUUGAAAAAAAGAAAAGAAAGACACUUGUGUUACUGGGUCACUAGACGUCUUUUUUUUUUUUUUUAAUCUUACCAUCUGUCAGGCACCAUUCUAUGUUUUACAAAUACUAACUCAUUUAAUUCCCACAAUAACCCUAUGAGGUCAAUACUAUUUUAUCCCUCUUGUUCUUGAAAACCACUGUUUAAUGUAUUUUGUCUGUUUUGUUGUUGUUGGGGCAAGAGGUUAAUUCUGUUGUCUCGUAUUCCAUUUUGGCUGGAAGCAGAAGUUUAUAAACAUUGCAUUUUAAAUUUGUUUUAAAUUUAGAUUUUUUUAAUUUCUAUUUUUUGAAUACUAAAUUUGACUAUUUCCUAUAUGUUUACAUUUGCAUUUCUUUUGUACUUUGUUCCUGUAUAUUGUUUGCUGUGUCUUCUGAAGAUUUAAGGGUUUCGUUUUCAAUUUUAUGCACGAUCACAUAAGUAAAAGCAAUAUGGCUUCUGUAAGAGAGCAUCUUACAGCAGGAGAAUUCUGGAGAUCUGCAAAGGUUCUCCCGCAAGUAUUCAGCAGAGCACAGAUCAGUACAUACAUGUGAGGAAACUACUUGAGCCAGGGAAAGAGUCCUCUAAAGGAUUAUUGGGAACAGUAUCUGUUGUUCACAUAGGGCUGAGAAGAGUGUCUAUUCCCACCAGCCAGACUGGAAAACUCUUCCAAUUCCUGGAGCAUUGGAUAGGUCGUGUCUACCCGAUCAGUAUCUAUCAAGAAGGUCUUGCUUCACUAAUGGGGGAUAAUUAGCCCUAUACUAGGCACUGCUAAAUCUAUCUAGCAAAUUGUAAAAGAAAGACCCAAAAGGAUCAAACUGUUUCCAAGUAACCUAACUGCAUCCUAAAACAAAGCUUAAGGAAAUUUAUAGUAAUAUAAAAAUGCCCAGCAUCCAAUACAAUAACAUCCACAGUAUCUGACAUCCAAUCAAAUUCACUAAGCAUGCAAAGAGAUGAAAACAUGGCCCGUAGUGAGGACGGUAAUAAUGAUUUGAAACUCAUCCAAACUUAACAUAGAUAUUACUAUUAGCAGAGGAGGAUAGUAAAACAUUAGUUAUAACUGUAUUUCAUAUAGCUAAGAAGGUAAGUACAGCAAUAGAAAGUAUUAAAAAAAAUUGAGAUUCUAGGGAGAAAACCUAUAUUGUCUGAAAUGAAAAUAAACCAGGUUAACAGCAGAUUAGAUUUCCAGAAGAAAAGUUGGGUGAACUUGAAGGCAUAGCAGUAAAACUAUCCAAAAUGAAAUGCAGAGAGAAAAAAAGAAACCAGAAAAAAAAAAUGAAAAGAACUUGAGUAAGCUGUGGAUAGAUAGCAUCAGGUAGCCUAUCAUAUGAGUAAUUGGAGUCCCUGAAGAAGAGAGUAAAGGAGGGAUGGAGAAAUAUAUGAAGAAAUAACAGCUGGAAAUGUCAAAACUUAAUGAAACUAUAAACUCGCAAAUUCAAGAAGCUCAAGGAACUCUAAACACCAGAAACAUGAAAAGUAUACCAAGGAAAAUAAUAAUCAGAUUACUCAAAUCAAUAAAAGGGAAAAUCUCAAAAGCAUCCAGAAGGAAAAUACAUGCUAUAUACAGAGGAAUAAGGGAUUACAUUGUAUUUCUUACCAGAAAUAAGACAUCUAAGAAGAGUGGAACUAUAUCUACAAAGUACUGAAAGAAAAAAAUAACUGUCUACCUAUUAAAUAGAAUUACACAUUCAGGAAAAAACAUCUUUCAACAACAAAGGUAACUCAACUUAUAGCAUGGGAGAAACAGGCCAGGUGCAGUGGCUCAUGCCUGUAAUCCUAGCACUGGGAGGCCGAGGCGGGCAGAUCACCUGAGGUCAAGAGUUCGAGACCAGCCUGGCCAACAUGGUGAAACCCCGUCUCUACUAAAAAAUACAAAAAAUUAGCUUUGCAUGCCUGUAGUCCCUGCUACAGGCUGAGGCACAAGAAUUGCUUGAACCCGGGAGGUGGAGGUUGCAGUGAGCCGAGAUCGUGCCACCGCACUCCAACCUGGGUGACAGAGUGAGACUCCGUCUCCAAAAAAAAGAAAAAAAAAAAAAGAGUUGGAGAAACUAUUUGCAAAUCAUGUAUCUGGUAAGGGUUUAAUAUUUAGAAUAUACAAAGAACUCCUACAACUCAACAAUACACACAACCCAAUUGUAAACGUGGGCAAAGGACUUGACAUUUCUGUAAACAAGAUAUACAAAUCGCUAGUAAGUACAUGAAAAUAUGCUCAACAUCAUCAGUCAUUAGGGAAAUGUAAAAACUACAAUGAGAUGUCACUUCAUCCUAACUAGGAUGGCUGUAAUUUUAAAAAAAUAGAAUAACAAGUAUUUGGCAAGGAUGUAGAGAAAUUAGAAUAUGCAUAUAUAUUCCUAGUGUGAAUGUAAAAAUAAUGCAGCCACUAUGGAAAACAGUUUGAUGGUUCCUCAAAAAGCUAAACAUAAAACCAUAUGACCCAGCUGUUUCAGUCCUAGGUGUACACCCAAAGGAAUUGAAUGUAGGAACUCAAACAGGUACUUGUAUGCCAGUGCUCAUGGCAGUGUUAUUCAUAAUAACCAAAAGAUGGAAACAACACAAGUGUUCGUCAACAGGUGAGUGGGUAACAAAAUGUAGUCUCUACACAAUGGAAUAUUUGAAAAGAGUCAUUAAAAAAGAGUGAGGUUUUGAUACAUGUUAAAACGUAGAUGAACCUUGAAAAAUGUAUACUCAGUGAAAUAAGCCAGACUCAAAAGGGCAAAUAUUGUAUGAUUCCACUUAUAUGACCUAAGUAGAAUAGACAAAUUCAUAGAGACAGAACGUAGAUUAGGGGCUUCCAGGGGAAUAGGGGAGAAUAUGGAGUUACCACUGAGUGGGUACCAGAGAUUCUGUUUGGAGCGAUGGAAAAGUUUUGGAAUUACAUAGUGGUGAUGGUCGCACCACACUGUGAAUGUAAUUAAUGCCACUGAAUUGGAUGCUUAAAAACAGUUAAAAUGGCAAAAAAAAAUUAUUUUACUACAAUUUAAAAAAUUAUGUAAUAUACCAAAACCCACUGAAUACAGUUUAAAUGGUUGAAUUGUACCGUAUGGCUGUUUAAAAAAAAACCAAAGGCACAAAAAAGACAUUGUUAGCUAUAAAAAAGCUGAAAGAAUUUAUCACCAGGAGACCCCCGUUACAAGAAACGUUAAAGAAUGUGUUUGAGAGAGAAAGGAAAUGAAACCAAAUGGAGAUCUGGAUCUACACAAACGAGUAAACAGCACUGGCAAAUGGUAACUACACAGGUAAAUAUAUAAUAUUUUUCCUUAAUGUUUAAAUUAUCUGUAAAAUGUAAUUGGCUAUAUUAGUUUUCUAUUGCUUGUAGCAUAUUACUACAAACUUGGCAGCUUCGAACAGCAUUUCCUUAUUAUGAGCUCUGUUGGUCAGAAGCGGUGCAAGCACAGCAUGGCUGGGUUCUCUGCUCAGGGUGUCCAAAGGCUGAAAUCAGGGUAUCACCUGGACUGGUUCUCAUCUGGAGGCUGUGGGGAAAAAUUCACUUUCAAGUUCACUCUUCUUGGCAGAAUUCAGUUCCUUGUGGCUGCAGGACUGAGGUCCCUGCUUCCUAGCUGGCUUUCAGCUGGUGCUGCUCUUUGCUGCUGGAGACUGCCAUGUUCCUCACACUGCACCAUCUUCAAGCCAGUAAUGGUGCAUCACAUUUUUCUUGGGCUUCUAUCUCUGACUUCCAUUCUGUGACCAGCUGGAGACAACACUUGUUUUUUUAAUCUGUAAAGUGAGACUAUUAGAUUAGGUCAGGUUUGGUAUUUUUUUUCCUCAAAAAAAAAAUUUGUAAUGGUAGGUAGGAUCAUUCAGUUUUAAAUCUUCAAAUGUGGUGUGGAACUUCAGAGGUUAAGGGGGUAAAAAUGCAAUUUAUGUAGCUCUUCUCUUCCUAAUCUUGGGGAGCUUUGGGCACUGUAGAUUUGCUUAUAGAAUGUCUCUGAUGUUCCUCUGUAUAGUGGGUGUUUGUGUCAUACCCAGCUGGUAUGAAGAAGUUUAGGCUGAUAAUUUAGGGAGCCUCCCAGUCAUAGCAAACUUAACUUAUGUUUCUUUUUCCCAGCUUUGUCUCCUCAGCACUCUGCUGUCACUCAAGGAAGUAUCAUCAAGAACAAGGAGGGCAUGGAUGCUAAGUCACUAACUGCCUGGUCCCAGACACUGGUGACCUUCAAGGAUGUAUUUGUGGACUUCACCAGGGAGGAGUGGAAGCUGCUGGACACUGCUCAGCAGAUUGUGUACAGAAAUGUGAUGCUGGAGAACUAUAAGAACUUGGUUUCCUUGGGUUAUCAGCUUACUAAGCCAGAUGUGAUCCUCCGGUUGGAGAAGGGAGAAGAGCCCUGGCUGGUGGAGAGAGGGAUUCACCAAGAGACCCAUCCUGAUUCAGAGAUGGCAUUUGAAAUCAAAUCAUCAGUUUCCAGCAGGAGCAUUUUUAAAGAUAAGCGAUCAUGUGACAUUAAAACGGAAGGAAUGGCAAGGAAUGAUCUCUGGUAUUUGUCAUUAGAAGAAGUCUGGAAAUGUAGAGACCAAUUAGACAAGUAUCAGGAAAACCCAGAGAGACAUUUGAGGCAAGUGGCAUUCACCCAAAAGAAAGUACUUACCCAGGAGAGAGUCUCUGAAAGUGGUAAAUAUGGGGGAAACUGUCUUCUUCCUGCUCAGCUAGUACUGAGAGAGUAUUUCCAUAAACGUGACUCACAUACUAAAAGUUUAAAACAUGAUUUAGUUCUUAAUGGUCAUCAGGAAGGCUGUGCAAGUAACAGUAAUGAAUGUGGUCAAACUUUCUGUCAAAACAUUCACCUUAUUCAGUUUGCAAGAGCUCACACAGGUGAUAAAUCCUACAAAUGCCCUGAUAAUGACAACUCUCUUACUCAUGGUUCAUCUCUUGGUAUAUCAAAGGGCAUACAUAGAGAGAAACCCUAUGAAUGUAAGGAAUGUGGAAAAUUCUUCAGCUGGCGCUCUAAUCUUACUAGGCAUCAGCUUAUUCAUACUGGAGAAAAACCCUAUGAGUGUAAAGAAUGUGGAAAAUCUUUCAGCCGGAGUUCUCACCUCAUUGGACAUCAAAAGACCCAUACUGGUGAGGAACCCUAUGAAUGUAAAGAAUGUGGAAAAUCCUUCAGCUGGUUCUCUCACCUAGUUACCCAUCAGAGAACUCAUACAGGAGACAAACUGUACACAUGUAAUCAGUGUGGGAAAUCUUUUGUUCAUAGCUCUAGGCUUAUUAGACACCAGAGGACACAUACUGGAGAGAAACCGUACGAAUGUCCUGAAUGUGGGAAAUCUUUCAGACAGAGCACACAUCUCAUUCUGCAUCAGAGAACCCAUGUGAGAGUGAGGCCCUAUGAAUGCAAUGAAUGUGGAAAGUCUUACAGCCAGAGAUCUCACCUUGUUGUGCAUCAUAGAAUUCACACUGGACUAAAACCUUUUGAGUGUAAGGAUUGUGGAAAAUGUUUUAGUCGAAGCUCUCAUCUUUAUUCACAUCAAAGAACCCACACUGGAGAGAAACCAUAUGAGUGUCAUGAUUGUGGAAAAUCUUUCAGCCAGAGUUCUGCCCUUAUUGUGCAUCAGAGGAUACACACUGGAGAGAAACCAUAUGAAUGCUGUCAGUGUGGGAAAGCCUUCAUCCGGAAGAAUGACCUCAUUAAGCACCAGAGAAUUCAUAUUGGAGAAGAGACCUAUAAAUGUAAUCAAUGUGGCAUUAUCUUCAGCCAGAACUCUCCAUUUAUAGUUCAUCAAAUAGCUCACACUGGAGAGCAGUUCUUAACAUGCAAUCAAUGUGGGACAGCGCUUGUUAAUACCUCUAACCUUAUUGGAUACCAGACAAAUCAUAUUAGAGAAAAUGCCUACUAAUAAAUAUGGGAAUUUAUCACAAAGAGCAAUGACUUUAUUUUGCAUUGGAGAACUCCUGGAGAUAAGCUGUACAAAUUGAAUCUAUGUGGAAAUGCUUUCAGUCUUGUUACUAUCCUAUUUUGCACAUUAGAGAAUUGGUCCUGGAAGGGAAAGAAACCACAGAUUUUAUUUCAGUACACAAGUCCAUCAGAUUUUCUUCUUUUCAUGAAUUCCUACAGAAGUAAUUGGCCUGGGAGCAUUCUUGACCAAGUCUUAAAUGCUAGAAUCUGAGAAGGAAUUAUUAAAUAGGUUUUCCAUUCUAUGGAGAGGAUCCCAGUCUUCAGAUUCUCUGUCUUUCAGCAGCCGUUUCCUAGAAGCCUCUUGGUAACUGAGGGCAACUGGCCGGGACCACACUCUGGUGUUACCUGAAGGCCAAGGAGUGAAUGGGGAUAGCUGCCUUGCCUGGAAGGGGAAAGGACUCUUUUCUGUCUUUUCUGGUUAUAGUCCCUGAUCCCUACGUGUGACACAAUUGGCAGUGACAGCUUGUCCAGGGCAAACACACAUUUCAGGCAACUUAAGCCACCUUUCCUUAUUUGAAAUUCUUCCCUUCACUUACUCAACUGGCUAAGGACAAGCCACAGAGGUUUGGGCAUGUCACAGAUGGUCUGUGUGAGUCAUGGGCAGGGGUUGGGGGGACGAAAGGGAAUUUAUGUACAAUUUAAUCUUGCCUAAAGUUAGAGAGUUAAAGAAUUGUUUUCAGUGGGAUAGAAAAAAAAUCCACAGGUUUGACUGAAAAUUAAUUAGAGAAGUCAGGCCUUCAUCUAGGGACAAGAGGGAAGGUUCACAGUGGGUCAUCGGUGGUGAAGGGAACCACUCCAAAGUGGUGCCAGCACCCAUCUAAGGUCAGAGAUGUCUGGCAGACAAAGAUGGAGCCUUAAAGGGGGAUGCCCCUGGGAACCCUGGUCAGGGCCCAGAGUUUUUCCAGGGGAGUGUCCCAGGGAAAUUUGGGUCACCUAAUGAGCCCUCCACUUUUCAAAGUCCUCCUUUCUAGACCACUAUGGGCAACUCUCCAUCUAUUCCACCUGAUUCCCCACUUGGCUGCAUCCUCCACUGUUGGAAUCAGUUUGACCCUGACAAUCUAAAGAGAAAACCUAAGAUUUUUUUCUGCAAUACUGUUUGAUCCCAUUAUGAGCUGCCCAGCCUAGAACAAUGGGUGAUCAAUGGUAGCCUCACACCAUCUUGCAAUUAGGCCUAUUUUGUAAGAGGCAGGGCAAAUGGUCAGAAAUAAAAAUAUAUUAAUCUGGACCCUUCUUCUCCCAAAGGCAAAAUAUUAAUGCCACAUUUCAUUAGCCAAUCCACCCCAGACAUUAAACCUAAGGUCCAAAAGCUAGAGAUGGGACCACAAAUUAAUCACAGUUUCUUGAUAUCACCUUUGUUGUGUAUAACAAUUGUGAUCUGGAGGAAAGAAAAGGGGAACAGAGUAAAAACUUAGGGGAAGACUGGCAACUAGACUUCACCCACAUGCCAACUGGCAGAGGAUACAAGUUUUUGUUAGAUACCUUUACUGCUAACAGAUACCUUUACUGGUUGGGUCAAAGCUUACCCUACCAGAACAGAGAAGGGUAAUGAGGUUAUAAAGUGUCUCUUAAAAUAAAUGAUGCCCUAGUCUUGGGUUAUCUGAGAGUCUCCAAAGUGGUCAUGGCCCAUUCCUUAUCUCCCAAAUAACUCAAGGAGUUGCCAAGGCUCUCAGAAUCAAAUACUAUUUACAUUCAGCAUGGAGGCCUCAGUCCUCCAGGAAAGUAGAAAGGGAUAACCAAGCUCUAACAUGACCGUUAGCAAAGCUAUGUCAGGAAAAAUCAGAAAUUGGGUCGGCUUACUGCCCAUAGCCUUCUUAAGGAUCCGUAAUACCCCUAGAGCAAAAAUAUAAGCCCAUACAAAAUGUUAUACGGAAGACCAUUCUUAACUAAUGAUCUAAUUACUGAUCCAGAAACAGCUAGUUUAGUAAAAUACCUAGUCAACCUAGGACAAUUUCAGUAGGCUUUACAAAAGUUUGGAACUCAAAGAUUUCUCAUACCAGGAACCAACUAGCAUCCCCAAAUCAGGCCAGGAGAUAAGGUACUUGUUAAAACAUGGAAGGAAGGAUCACGUGAUCAACAAUUGCAACACAAAUGGAAGGGACCUUUUCAGUGUUACUGGCCAUGCCUUCUGCAGUCAAAGUGCUGGGAUUAGAUAGUUGGAUACAUCUUUCAAGGAUGAAGUCUGAGAUACUUGAAGCCCCAGGCCUGGAACCUGAAGUUUCCAUCAGCCACUACACCUGUGAACCUGUGGAUGACCUGAAAUACCUGUUUAGAAGGCAACCAAAAGAUAAAUGCCUACCAACUUUUCUUGGUGUUUUUGUUGCAGUUACUGCAGGCUGGAUAAUAGUAGCCAUAUUU